CCUAACACAUGCAAGUCGAACGAGAAGCCACCUUCGGGUGGUGGAUAGUGGCGCACGGGUGAGUAACGCGUGGGAACCUACCCUGGGGUGGGGAACAACCGCUGGAAACGGCGGCUAAUACCGCAUACGUCCUUCGGGAGAAAGACUUCGGUCGCCCCUGGAUGGUCCCGCGUCUGAUUAGCUAGUUGGUGAGGUAACGGCUCACCAAGGCGACGAUCAGUAGCUGGUCUGAGAGGAUGAUCAGCCACACUGGAACUGAGACACGGUCCAGACUCC
rnacentral:rRNA from 1 species